GGGGCUGUGGUGUAACUGGCAGCAUGUCGGGCUUCGGGCACCGACGCAGGACGCGUUGGUCGUCGUGUAGGUGAGAGUUCGAUCCUCUCCGGCCCCA
rnacentral:tRNA from 1 species